UGGAAGAUGGACUUAGUUUCUUCAUCAAGUGCCCAGUCUGACUUUAAUUAGCAUACAAAUGUUGUGGGGGGGCAUCACACAGCGGUGUCCUAGUUCUUGGGAAAGUAUUGUCCUUGUUUCUUUGGGUGAAAGAAGGGAAUUGCUGGAGCCAAUCAAACUGCUCCUAAGAUCAAUGGUGGGAAAGUUGGACAGGAGACGCUGAAGGAGAAAAAGGAUUUCACCAUGAGAGGUCCGAAGCCAUGGCCGUUGAGAGACUAAUCAGAAAUAUGAGGAGCUCAUCCCAAAGCUGCCUUUCCAGAGAGACAGACAGACAGAGACAGAGAGAGACAGGGAGAAAGAGAGACAGACAGAGGCAUAGAGAGAGAGAGGUUGCCCAGGCGACCAGAAUGCAGGUGCUGGUGUGCACUCGGAGGCUAGAGAAGAGUAUCUAGCGGGUUUGUUUGAUGAUGCGCCUUUCUGUGCCAUCCUCGUGGAGAGCUGCCACCAUGACCAAAGCCAUCAGCUGGUUCACCAGAUGAGCCUCAGGGAUGACGGACGAGGAGUGGGCUUGAUCUCAUGGGCACCGUCUACUCUGGGAAUGUUGUCACACACAUGGAGUCUUUGGCUAUGGUAACUUCAAAUAUAUACGCAUAUAUAUGAAUACAUACAUAAAACCUAUACCUCCAGUGGUCAGAGAAUUAAGAAGACUGUGUGUCUCCUCUUGAACUCACAGAUUUGGCAGUCAGGUGUGGAGCAGGCACUGGAGUCCUUUCAGGAAGGCUUGUGUUCUUUCUCUGGUUACCAUUCAGUAUCUGACCCUGGGGUUGACAAGGUCUCUGGCCCAUUGCUUUCUCUAAGAAAUGGAUAUGGAUCAUCUCACAGGAAGGUUUCCAAAGUUCUUUAAAUAGUUUAUGUAAAAAUAUAAAGAAUUAUAAUUCCUUAGAGUUGUAAUAAUUGCAAGAAACACCAUUUCUUUCUCAGGAUCUAGAAUUGGCCGUGAUCUUUAAGAUGUAAAGAUAAAAUAGAUUAUCAAACAAGUAAAAAUAAUUGAAUUGCAGAAAAACCUAAUUAUAAUUCUCUAGAUUCACUAGAUGCAUAAUUUACAUUGCAACAAGUUUGGUGGUUGGGACACUGCCGAAACUCCGUGCUGUGUGAAAUGGCUCAUUCGGUGUCUCUUUGGGAAUGCAAAUGGAAGCAAGCCUACUUUGGAAAUUCAAUAAUGUUGGCUCUAAGAGAUGAUUAAGAAAAUUAAUCCACAGCCCCAAAUAUUUGACGUGGCCACACUGCCCCGCCACCCCGCCACCCCACAAACUUAAUACAAGGUGAAUUUUUAAAAGCCAGUUGAUUGCAAAUGUUAGGGUGUUAACGUAAGGGGAAUACAACAUUUAGCAAGCAGGCAGUAUCGGUACAAGAGAGUGAGUCGUCAGCCCUGCAGAGACACCAGGCCUAGCUGUCACCCAGCUUCCGGCACUCAGCGUUAGGGGAGUCCUGCCUUCUUGAAUACUAAUCAAAUGGAAAUAACCAUAAGCAAAUGCUCUCUAUGAUUCCUUUCUUAAAAAUUCAUACCGAGGAGACACAUCCUUCUAAGAGAUUUUAUGAGGGGUAGAACUGAUCUUAGCAUUCGGUCUAAUCCUUGUUUUUACCGAAGUCUGCUUAGACACAGAGCGAUGUUUUUGCAGUGUGGUGGUUUAGAACGGCUGAUUUCCUCUCUGGGAGCUGAGCAACCCCGAGUGCUGCUCAAGUGGACUCCCCUACUGCACCGAGUGACGGCUCUGCACAUACCGAGAGUCACUGCCCAGGCAGAAAUUUUGGUCGCUUUUGUAAAUUCCGAGCCUGGGAUUUCAGAGUGACUGAUUGGUUCUUAGAGGCAAAAACUGAACAUUGUACAGGAGACAGGUUAACACAUUUGGCUUACUGCUCACAUUUAUUGGGGCUAAAGAGACUGAAACAACUUUCUUCCCAAAGAAUUGAGAAAAAAAAAAAUAA